rnacentral:rRNA from 1 species
UACGUAGGGGGCAAGCGUUGUCCGGAAUCAUUGGGCGUAAAGCGCGUGUGAGGCGGCUAGAUAAGUCUGCGUCUCGAAAGCCCGGGGGCUCAACCCCGGGAGGCGGGUGGAUACUGUCUAGCUCGAGUCCGGAAGAGGAGUGUGGAAUUCCUGGUGUAGCGGUGAAAUGCACAGAUAAGUCAGGAGGAACACCAAUGGGCGAAGGCAGCACUCUGGGACGUGAACUGGACGCUGAAGACGCGAAAGCGUGGGGAGCAAACAGG